UUCAUGCUGUGUUAUAUAUAUACCCACUCUGUGUACAUUCUCCUGUUGCUUCCGCUGGGUGGCAGCACUUGUUGCCUGGCGGAAGGGUAAAAAUUUUAACUUCUUAGAGUAUUGAAAAUCUCUGUCUGAAUCGAAUAGAAACAAAAAAUGUUAAAACUUUCAGCAACGGAUCUCUUGGUUCUCGCAUCGAUGAAGAACGCAGCGAAAUGCGAUAAGUAGUGUGAAUUGCAGAAUUCAGUGAAUCAUCGAAUCUUUGAACGCACAUUGCGCCUUCUGGUAUUCCGGAAGGCAUGCCUGUUCGAGAAUCAUUAACAACCAUCUCGAAUCCUCCUUUUCAUUAUUUUUUUUCUGUGCGAAAAAAAGUGGUUUGGGGGGGGGGAAUCGGUGUUGGUGGUGGAGGGAAUGAGUUUGUUGAGCUUGC
rnacentral:misc_RNA from 1 species